AUACGGAGGAUGCGAGCGUUAUCCGGAUUUAUUGGGUUUAAAGGGUGCGUAGGCGGACGAUUAAGUCAGCUGUGAAAUGCCCGCGCUUAACGCGGGAAGUGCAGUUGAUACUGGUUGUCUGGAGUGCCGUUGCCGUGGGGGGAAUGUGUAGUGUAGCGGUGAAAUGCAUAGAUAUUACACAGAACGCCGAUUGUGAAGACACCCCACGAAGCGGUAACUGACUCUGAGGCACGAAAGCGUGGGGAUCAAACAGGAUUAGAUACCCUGGUAGUCCAGGCAGUAAACGAUGAUGACUAACCGCUGGGCGGAAUGACGUCCGUCAGCCAAGCGAAAGCGAUAAGUCAUCCACCUGGGGAGUACGGCCGCAAGGCUGAAACUCAAAGGAAUUGACGGGG
rnacentral:rRNA from 1 species